rnacentral:rRNA from 1 species
GACGAACGCUGGCGGCGUGCUUAACACAUGCAAGUCGAACGGAAACGCACUGCUUUCGUGGGGUGCUCGAGUGGCGAACGGGUGAGUAACACGUGAGUAACCUGCCCUAGACUUUGGGAUAACUUCAGGUAACUGGGGCUAAUAUCGGAUAGCAGCCCCCGUUGCAUGGUGGGGGUUGGAACGUUUCGGCGGUUGGGGAUGGAUGCGCGGCUUACCAGCUUGUUGGUGGGGGAGUGGCAGACCAAGGCUUUGACGGGUAGCCGGCCUGUGAGGGUGACCGGCCACAAGGGGACUGAGAUACGGACCAGACUGCAACGGGGGGCAGCGGGGGGGAGUAUUGCACAGUGGGCGGGAGCCUGAGGCAGCAACGUCGCGUGCGGGAUGACGGCCUGCGGGUUGUGAACCGCUUUCGCCUGAGACGAAGCGGGAGUGACGGUAAUGGGUAAAGAAGCACCGGCUAACUACGUG